rnacentral:rRNA from 1 species
CCGUAGCUGGUCUGAGAGGACGACCAGCCACACUGGGACUGAGACACGGCCCAGACUCUUACGGGAGGCAGCAGUGGGGAAUUUUGGACAAUGGGGGAAACCCUGAUCCAGCCAUCCCGCGUGUGCGAUGAAGGCCUUCGGGUUGUAAAGCACUUUUGGCAGGAAAGAAACGUCGCGGGUUAAUACCUCGCGAAACUGACGGUACCUGCAGAAUAAGCACCGGCUAACUACGUGCCAGCAGCCGCGGUAAUACGUAGGGUGCAAGCGUUAAUCGGAAUUACUGGGCGUAAAGCGUGCGCAGGCGGUUCGGAAAGAAAGAUGUGAAAUCCCAGAGCUUAACUUUGGAACUGCAUUUUUAACUACCGGGCUAGAGUGUGUCAGAGGGAGGUGGAAUUCCGCGUGUAGCAGUGAAAUGCGUAGAUAUGCGGAGGAACACCGAUGGCGAAGGCAGCCUCCUGGGAUAACACUGACGCUCAUGCACGAAAGCGUGGGGAGCAAACAGGAUUAGAUAACCUGGUAGUCCA